rnacentral:rRNA from 1 species
UACGGGGGGAGCAAGCGUUGUUCGGAUUUACUGGGCGUAAAGGGCUCGUAGGCGGCCAACUAAGUCAGACGUGAAAUCCCUCGGCUUAACCGGGGAACUGCAUCUGAUACUGGAUGGCUUGAGUUUGGGAGAGGGACGCGGAAUUCCAGGUGUAGCGGUGAAAUGCGUAGAUAUCUGGAGGAACACCGGUGGCGAAGGCGGCGUCCUGGACCAACACUGACACUGAGGAGCGAAAGCCAGGGGAGCAAACGGG